rnacentral:rRNA from 1 species
CCUACGGGUGGCAGCAGUGGGGAAUAUUGCACAAUGGGGGAAACCCUGAUGCAGCGACGCCGCGUGAGUGAAGAAGUAAUUCGUUACGUAAAGCUCUAUCAGCAGGGAAGAAAAUGACGGUACCCGAGUAAGAAGCACCGGCUAACUACGUGCCAGCAGCCGCGGUACUACGUAGGGGACAAGCGUUAUCCGGAUUUACUGGGUGUAAAGGGAGCGUAGACGGUGGGCCAAGUCUGAAGUGAAAUGCCGCAGCUUAACUGCGGAACUGCUUUGGAAACUGGCCAACUAGAGUGCGGAAGGGGUAAGCGGAAUUACUAGUGUAGCGGUGAAAUGCGUAGAUAUUAGGAGGAACACCGGUGGCGAAGGCAGCUUACUAGACCGUAACUGACGUUGAGGCUCGAAAGCGUGGGGAGCGAACAGGAUUAGAUACCCCAGUAGUC